AACAAACGCUGGCGGCGUGCCUAAUACAUGCAAGUCGAACGGGGUAGCAAUACCUAGUGGCGCACGGGUGAGUAACGCGUGGAUAAUCUGCCUUAGAGUGGGGGAUAACUAGUCGAAAGAUUAGCUAAUACCGCAUAAGACCACAAGAACUGCGGUUCAAGGGGUCAAAGGUUUUUCGCUCUAAGAUGAGUCCGCGUAAGAUUAGCUAGUUGGUGAGGUAAUGGCUCACCAAGGCGACGAUCUUUAACUGGUCUGAGAGGAUGAUCAGUCACACUGGAACUGAGACACGGUCCAGACUCCUACGGGAGGCAGCAGUAGGGAAUAUUGCACAAUGGAGGAAACUCUGAUGCAGCGACGCCGCGUGAGUGAUGAAGGCCUUCGGGUCGUAAAGCUCUGUCGCAGGGGAAUAACCCAAUGAAUGUACCCUGUAAGAAAGGACCGGCUAACUUCGUGCCAGCCGCCGCGGUAAGAC
rnacentral:rRNA from 1 species